rnacentral:lncRNA from 1 species
GCACAUAAUAAUCUUGAUGACUUCAAAUCGAUUGCAUCUAAGGGUGAGUAAGUUAGUUGAUAUCCAGGUCCCAUAUCGAUUGCACAAAAAUAAUCUUGAUGACUUCAAAUCUAUUGCACAAAAAUAAAAGCUGCCCAUAUCUGACAUUACAAGGUCCUAAUAUGCAAAUAUCCAGUGGUAGAAACAAGUGGAUCUUAUACUGUCGCCCACCGCUUGGUGCUGGAGCCUUGGAACUUCCAUGUCGAAACUCAAGUCGUUACCUUCUGGACUUGCAUGCAAGUCUCGCUAACUUGCCAGUUAGCCCCCUGUCACUAAAGGACACACGUGAUUAUGCUUACAAGGAGGGAAAGCUAUAUACGGCAAGCAAAUUUGGCACGAGAGCUUCUCAACAAACCAUUAUGCGUAUGAGCAACGCCUGAAAUGAACCCAUCCUGCACAACAAACGGAAUUCAAUGAGGAGGCAGUGUUAAUCCCCUCAUGCCAUCAGCAGAUAGAUCUAAUCAUCUAAGGGGGGAAAACAAGUUAUGCAUCCAUAUCCGACUAAAGAUUGAAAAUUACAUCAUAAGAUAAGCAUCUUCACAACACAUCUACGCGAUAAGUUAUGCACUGCUUUAUCCAGAACAAACUUGACGUUUCACAUUUGUGACAACAAUAAUUUGCAGUGCGGAACACUAGGAAGGGAUGGUGAAUAUUCAGAUUAUGCAUGCUUUACCCUAGUACAUUUGAUGAGUCUCUUCCGAGUCCUAGCAAUAUGAUUAUAUAUCAUGGAACGGUUCCACCGUAGAGCAUAUAGACUGACAUCUCUGUUAUAUGGAAGCCUUUGCUUGGAAACUCUUCUUGCAUCAUUCACAGUUUAAUUUUGGACUUUGGUGCAAUGGACAAGAUCAAACAAGGAUAAUUUAAGCAUUAACAAAUUAGCUAAUCAUGUGCACAAACACACAAUCAUAUAAGAUAUAACACUGAAAUAUAUUUCUUUACUAACCCUGUCAUAGACAACCCAACUUAUUA